AGCGAACGCUGGCGGCAGGCUUAACACAUGCAAGUCGAGCGGGCAUAGCAAUAUGUCAGCGGCAGACGGGUGAGUAACGCGGGGGAACGUACCUUUUGGUUCGGAACAACUGAGGGAAACUUCAGCUAAUACCGGAUAAGCCCUUACGGGGAAAGAUUUAUCGCCGAAAGAUCGGCGCGCGUCUGAUUAGCUAGUUGGUGAGGUAAUGGCACACCAAGGCGACGAUCAGUAGCUGGGCUGAGAGGAUGAUUAGCCGCAUUGGGACUGAGACACGGACCACACUCCUACGGGAGGCAGCGGUGGGGAAUAUUAGACAAUGGGAGCAAGCCUGAUCCAGCCAUGCCGCGUGAGUGAUGAAGGCCGUAGGGUUGUAAAGCUCUCUUGUGCGGGAAGAUAAUGACGGUACCGCAAGAAUAAGCCCCGGCUAACUUCGUG
rnacentral:rRNA from 1 species